GAUGAACGCUGGCGGCGUGCCUAAUACAUGCAAGUCGAGCGAACGGACGAGAAGCUCUCGCCUUUGAUGUUAGCGGCGGGCGGGCGAGUAAGACGUGGAUAACCUACUUAUAAGACUGGGAUAAUUUCGGGAAACCGGAGCUAAUACCGGAUAAUAUUUUGAACCGCAUGGAUCAAAAGUGAAAGACGGUCUUGCUGUCACUUAUAGAUGGAUCCGCGCUGCAUUAGCUAGUUGGUAAGGUAACGGCUUACCAAGGCAACGAUGCAUAGCCGAUCUGAGAGGGUGAUCGGCCACACUGGAACUGAGACACGGUCCAGACUCCUACGGGAGGCAGCAGUAGGGAAUCUUCCGCAAUGGGCGAAAGCCUGACGGAGCAACGCCGCGUGAGUGAUGAAGGUCUUCGGAUCGUAAAACUCUGUUAUUAGGGAAGAACAUAUGUGUAAGUAACUGUGCACGUCUUGACGGUACCUAAUCAGAAAGCCACGGCUAACUACGUG
rnacentral:rRNA from 1 species